rnacentral:rRNA from 1 species
CAGAGGUCCCGAGCGUUGUUCGGAUUCACUGGGCGUAAAGGGUGCGUAGGUGGCUACUGAAAGUUUGAUGUGAAAUCUCCGGGCUUAACCCGGAAAUGCAUUGAAUACUGCGGAGCUGGAGGGUUGGAGGGGGGACUGGAAUUCUCGGUGUAGCAGUGAAAUGCGUAGAUAUCGAGAGGAACACCAGUGGCGAAGGCGAGUCCCUGGACAACACCUGACACUGAGGCACGAAAGCUAGGGGGAGCAAACAGGAUUAGAUACCCUGGUAGUCCUAGCCCUAAACGGUGCGCGUUUGCUGUAGGAGGAAUCGACCCUUCUGUGGCGAAGCUAACGCGAUAAACGCGCCGCCUGGGGAUACGGUCGCAAGAUUA